GUUUGCAGCCAUAUCACCCUGAGCACUCCUGAUCUCAUCUGAUCUUGGAAGCAGGGUCAGACCUGGUUAGUGCUUGGAUGGGAGAAAAUAGAAAGAUGAGUCUAAAACU
ensembl:rRNA 5S_rRNA 5S ribosomal RNA